AACGAACGCUGGCGGCAUGCCUAACACAUGCAAGUCGAGCGAGGACUUCGGUUCUAGCGUCGGACGGGUUAGUAACGCGGGGGAAUGUGCCCUUCUCUACGGAAUAGCGCGGGGAAACUGGUAGUAAUAGCGUAUACGCUCUCUUGUGGGAAGAUUUAUCGGAGAAGGAUCAGCCCGCGUUGUAUUAGGUUGGUGGUGGGGUAAUGGCCUACCAAGCCGACGAUCCAUAGCGGGUUUGAGAGGAUGAUCAGCCACACUGGCACUGAGACACGGCCCAGACUCCUACGGGAGGCAGCAGUGGGGAAUCUUAGAAAAUGGGGGCAACCCUGAUCUAGCCAUGCCGCGUGAGUGAUGAAGGCAUUAGGGUUGUAAAGCUCUUUCAGCUGGGAAGAUAAUGACGGUACCAGCAGAAGAAGCACCGGCUAACUCCGUG
rnacentral:rRNA from 1 species